UACAGGGGGGGCAAGCGUUGUUCGGAAUUACUGGGCGUAAAGGGCUAGUAGGCGGCCUCUUAAGUCGAACGUGAAAUCCCCGGGCUCAACCCGGGAACUGCGUCCGAUACUGGGAGGCUUGAAUCCGGGAGAGGGAUGUGGAAUUCCAGGUGUAGCGGUGAAAUGCGUAGAUAUCUGGAGGAACACCGGUGGCGAAGGCGGCAUCCUGGACCGGUAUUGACGCUGAGGCGCGAAAGCCAGGGGAGCAAACGGG
rnacentral:rRNA from 1 species